AAAGAUCCAAAGUUAUCAAAUAAUAUAUAUAAUCUUCCUAAAAAUACAACUCAUUUUCAGAUCUCUCUUUCUUCCACAAGCUAAGCGAGGAGGAAAGAGGGCAAAUAAAUCCAAAUUUUAGGUUACUAUUUGAUUUAUAUCCGCUCUAGUUUUGGUUUUGACAUACAAUUUCAAUUAAAGAUGGCAAAGGAAACUAGAAAUAUACAUUCUUGGGUAGAGGUUGCUCCAGCCCUCAUAACAUAUCGACGAAAACCUUCACAUAAAUCUGGAUUAGAGACCAUCAGAGAAGAGAUCAACGAGGGGUUUGACGAUGACAAAUAAUGUAAAAAUCCGUUUACAUUGUCAUGUGUACUGAAGCUAAACUCUUUUUACAGAAUGUGAUUACAUUCUGAAAAUAUAUCUUAAUUAGGGUUUAGUCGAUGUGAGACUGGAGUUUUUGGCCCCAGCUGAAGAAUCGGAGAGUAUUUUAGGUGUCUGAUUGCCAGCUAGAGGGAUAAUGUACAUUAUGCUUUUUAUUAGCUUUACGUUGUUCCAUAUGUGCAGUGAACUAACAAUGCUUUAGAUUAUUGAUAUUAUCUUAGAAUUUAGAAUCAUUGCUAUCAAAAUGAUGCGAUGAGGAUAACAUCUUGAAAUUUUUGCCACUUAAUAUUAGAAGCCAUACAAAGCGUUUGGUAUAGUUGAAAAUGUUUUACUUCUAAAACAUGUUCUAUGUUAUGAAAUAUUAGAUUAUGGUGGAUGUCCAUAACUCCUAUAACACCCACUACUUUUAU
rnacentral:lncRNA from 1 species